rnacentral:rRNA from 1 species
GGCAGCCCGAGUGGUGAUCACUAUUAUUGGGUCUAAAGGGUCCGUAGCCGGUUUAAUCAGUCUUCUGGGAAAUCUAAUCGCUUAACUAUUAGGCUUCCAGGGGAUACUGUUAGACUUGGGACCGGGAGAGGUAAGAGGUACUGCAGGGGUAGGAGUGAAAUCUUGUAAUCCCUGUGAGACCACCAGUGGCGAAGGCGUCUUACCAGAACGGGUCCGACGGUGAGGGACGAAAGCUGGGGGCACGAACCGGAUUAGAUACCCGGGUAGUCCCAGCUGUAAACGAUGCUCGUUAGGUGUCAGGAACGGUGCGACUGUUUCUGGUGCCGAAGGGAAGCCGUGAAACGAGCCACCUGGGAAGUACGGCCGCAAGGCUGAAACUUAAAGGAAUUGGCGGGGGAGCACUACAACGGGUGGAGCCUGCGGUUUAAUUGGACUCAACGCCGGAAAACUCACCGGGGGCGACAGCAAUAUGUAGGUCAGGUUAAAGGUCUUACCUGAAUCGCUGAGAGGAGGUGCAUGGCCGUCGUCAGUUCGUACUGUGAAGCAUCCUGUUAAGUCAGGCAACGAGCAAGACCCGUGCCCACUGUUACCAGCAUAUCCUUUAUGGAUGAUGGGGACUCUGUGGGGACCGCUGCUGCUAAAGCAGAGGAAGGUGCGGGCUACGGUAGGUCAGUAUGCCCCGAAUCUCCCGGGCUACACGCGGGCUACAAUGGUUGGGACAAUGGGUAUCUACUCCGAAAGGAGUUGGCAAUCUCUUAAACCCAAUCGUAGUUCGAAUUGAGGGCUGUAACUCGCCCCCAUGAAGCUGGAAUCCGUAGUAAUCGCGUUUCAACAUAGCG